GGCAGCAGUGGGGAAUUUUGCGCAAUGGGGGAAACCCUGACGCAGCAACGCCGCGUGGAGGAAGAAGGCUUUCGAGUCGUAAACUCCUGUCCCCGGGGACGAAGCAAGUGACGGCACCCGGGGAGGAAGCCCCGGCUAACUCCGUGCCAGCAGCCGCGGUAAUACGGGGGGGGCGAGCGUUGUUCGGAAUUACUGGGCGUAAAGGGCGCGCAGGCGGCGGCAGAAGUUCCGGGUGAAAGCCCCCGGCUUAACCGGGGAAGGUCCUGGAAAACCAUGCUGCUGGAGUGCUGGAGAGGCUAGCGGAAUUUCGGGUGUAGCGGUGAAAUGCGUAGAUAUCCGAAGGAACACCGGAGGCGAAGGCGGCUAGCUGGACAGACACUGACGCUGAGGCGCGAAAGCCAGGGGAGCAAACGGGAUUAGAUACCCCGGUAGUCCUGGCCGUAAACGAUGGGUACUUGGUGUGCGGGGUAAUGAAGUCCCUGCGUGCCGGCGAUAACUCGUUAAGUACCCCGCCUGGGGAGUACGAUCGCAAGACUGAAACUCAAAUGAAUUGACGG
rnacentral:rRNA from 1 species